AGCGAACGCUAGCGGCGGGCUUAACACAUGCAAGUCGAGCGGAGAGCUUCGGCUCUCAGCGGCGAACGGGUGAGUAACACGUAGGUCACGUACCCUUUGAUGGGGAAUAGCCUAGGGAAACCUGGGCUAAUACCGCAUAUGUCCUUCGGGAUGAAAGCCUUCGGGCGUCAGAGGAUCGGCCUGCGGCCCAUUAUUUAAUCCUAGUUGGUAGGGUAAUGGCCUACCAAGGGUACGAUGGGUAGCUGGUCUGAGAGGAUGAUCAGCCACACUGGAACUGAGACACGGUUCAGACUCCUACGGGAGGCAGCAGUGGGGAAUAUUGGACAAUGGGCGAAAGCCUGAUCCAGCCACGCCGCGUGGGUGAUGAAGGCCUUCGGGUUGUAAAGCCCUGUCGGGAGGGACGAAUCAAUGACGGUACCUCCCAAGAAAGCACCGGCUAACUCCGUG
rnacentral:rRNA from 1 species